rnacentral:rRNA from 1 species
UAGGGAAUUUUCCACAAUGGGGGCAACCCUGAUGGAGCAACGCCGCGUGCAGGAUGAAGGCCUUCGGGUCGUAAACUGCUUUUAUCUGUGACGAUUUUGACGGUAGCAGAUGAAUAAGGAUCGGCUAACUACGUGCCAGCAGCCGCGGUCAUACGUAGGAUCCAAGCGUUAUCCGGAAUUACUGGGCGUAAAGAGUUGCGUAGGUGGCAGAGUAAGCGAAUCAUGAAAUCUUAUGGCUCAACCAUAUGGCUAUGAUUUGAACUGCUCAGCUUGAGCACGAGAGAGGUAACUGGAAUUCCUAGUGUAGGAGUGAAAUCCGUAGAUAUUAGGAGGAACACCGAUGGCGUAGGCAGGUUACUGGCUCGUUGCUGACACUAAGGCACGAAAGCGUGGGGAGCAAAUG